rnacentral:rRNA from 1 species
UUAAAUUGAAGAGUUUGAUCAUGGCUCAGAUUGAACGCUGGCGGCAGGCCUAACACAUGCAAGUCGAACGGUAACAGGAAGAAGCUUGCUUAUUUGCUGACGAGUGGCGGAC